rnacentral:rRNA from 1 species
CCUACGGGAGGCAGCAGUGGGGAAUAUUGCACAAUGGGCGCAAGCCUGAUGCAGCCAUGCCGCGUGUGUGAAGAAGGCCUUCGGGUUGUAAAGCACUUUCAGCGGGGAGGAAGGCGGUGAGGUUAAUAACCUCAUCGAUUGACGUUACCCGCAGAAGAAGCACCGGCUAACUCCGUGCCAGCAGCCGCGGUAAUACGGAGGGUGCAAGCGUUAAUCGGAAUUACUGGGCGUAAAGCGCACGCAGGCGGUCUGUCAAGUCGGAUGUGAAAUCCCCGGGCUCAACCCGGGAACUGCAUUCGAAACUGGCAGGCUAGAGUCUUGUAGAGGGGGGUAGAAUUCCAGGUGUAGCGGUGAAAUGCGUAGAGAUCUGGAGGAAUACCGGUGGCGAAGGCGGCCCCCUGGACAAAGACUGACGCUCAGGUGCGAAAGCGUGGGGAGCAAACAGGAUUAGAUACCCCGGUAGUC